GUCAGUGCACUGUGGCCGCAGCGCCGAGGAGCGGGAUGGCGGAAGCGCGGGCCAAGGGCGGGGGCACAUGGGAGUGGAGGGCGGAGGGCCAGUGGGACAGUGCCUGUGCCAGGGGGCAGAGGUCGGCAGCCUGCCCUGCGGGGUGCGGGGCCGUCGGGGACAGCCUCGCUGCAGCGGGGCGGAGGAGGGAAGAUGGAGGCAGCGGAACCUGGGUCUGGCCAGGAGGGUGGGUUUAGAAGUGCGUGUGACGCCGCUGUGGACCCAAGAGCUGUCUCUGUACCGAGGGACAUAGGAGACAUGACCAAGUUCAUUUCAACAACGGAAUUUUUUUCUGAGACAAAACCUGAGGAUUUUGGUGCUGUUCCCUUAGUCGGGUGUUCUCCUAAAGCUCUCCGUCCCUAGGUUGCUCUUUCCCAAGGAAAAAAAAAAAAAAAAAAAAAGAAAAAAGUGCAGUUCCUGGCCCUUUCAGGUACUUUCUAAAUUCUUCUUUGCUGAGCCACUAUUUGAACAGACAGCUGAGCUGUGCAAUAUUUGUCAGUCAUGGAUGCCUAAAAGUGAGAGAGUCUUAGAACUACUUGAAGGUAACUGGCCAAAGUUAGAGACUGGCAUCUGGUUUCCACCUUCCCUGCUGACGGAGUUUUGUUGGGAGGGCUUGGCUUCUUUGGGGAGACUUUUUUUUGCCCCAGGAUUGAUGAGUUUUUAACUGUGGCAGCCUUUGGAAGGAUGAAACAAACUUGGACAAGUGUUCUCUGGCAAUACAAUAGAUUAAACUAGCCUGUGUUUUGCUCUCUUUGGACUAUGAUAGAAGAGUUACUUUAUUCAUUUCAGUUUAUUUCCUGUGGGUAGCAUUGCCCACCUCUACUGAAAGGGCAUGUGUGUGUUGUGCAUGUGUUUUUGUAAAAUUCAAGUUUUGAGUCUUUCAUCUUCUGUCAGGUUUACGUUAUGGGCCUAAACACAUAGUGGAUUACAUACAAUGUUUGUAAAAUCAGGGGAAGGGAAAA